GCCUUUAGACGAUAUAUAAGGUAAAAACCUAAGAAGUCUUCUCGCUAUCAGCACCCAAGCCUCAUCCUACGAUUCAGGCAACGCAGCAACUUAAGCGUACAGUAAACAAUAAUAUACACCAGUAAAAUGAAGUACUCUGUUGUCAUAUCACUACUCAUGGUCGUAUUCUGCGUGUAUCUCGCUGAUGCCGCUAGAGGGCGCACGGGACCUGGGUUCGGAGUCGGCAGAAGAAGUGACACACCUGACACGAAAGGUUUAGGAGUUAAAACAGUGUUGGCAGUUUGUCAGUUAGAUGAGCCCGGAUGUCGUUCACUUGAAGAAUACCAGCAACUCAUGAAAGGAACUGACGAUUUAACGGACUCUGCUUACAACGAUAUUUUCACGUCGUAAAACAAGAAAACAGUUACACUCUGCUUGUCCCCCUUUUCCACAAUGUAACAUCGUAAAUAUGGUCCAAUGAUUCGUGUAUAGGUUAGCUUGCAAAUGGAAUGGGAUAUAUUAGUAUCACGAAAGUUCGCAUUAAGAAUGUUCAUAUAAUAUAGUUUGAAUAAAUAAACAUAUUCGAUUGGUUAUUGAAUAUACUAUUAUGUAAACUAUCGGCUACUAUUUAUGCUAUGUUCUAUUUUUGAAGGUGUUUACUAUCUUUUUUCAAUUAUAAUAAGUCGUUGAUAUUGAGAAAAAACGGAAAUAUUAACGCAAAGUUUUUUUUUAAUCCACCUGUCAAAUACAUUGCCAAGUUGACAACAACGCCGACUGACAGAGUAACUAUUACAUGUACAUAUAUAGUUAUAUGAAUAGCGACCUCUACCGCCCAAUAAGUGAAGCAUCGUUGUCAUUCACUGAACACGAAUUGGUCUACAGAAGCAGAUAAUAAACUAUUGAUCUAUGUAAUAUAGAGGGCGCGUUUCAAAUUGUGAAAUCGCUCGUCAAUAAUAGAAUAAAGAUGCACAGUUGAUUCAAAUCAA